rnacentral:misc_RNA from 1 species
AACAGGAACAUUCGUAUCCCAACUUUUUCUACUAAAUUGAUGAAAGCAUUCUAAUUAAAAUAACAAUUAUAAAUUCUUUAAAUGAACUGCAUCAUACUAUAGCUAGUAGUACUAUUUUGAAAAAAUACGAAUAAGUUUACCUUGAUGGAUGAAGAGUAAGUAGUGCUUUUACUUGAGUGAAUAUAACCAUUUACACAAUCUUUUUUGUUAACGCAAAUUCUAUUCAAUCCACUACAGCUAAUUAUAAAAUCAGUGUCCUGUUCGGCGAAUUUUAAACCAUCGGAAGCAAAUUGACCUCGAUGAGCUUGGUUUUGAUUGGUGUCUUGUUUAGGAUUUUCAACUAUCAUCUUUUGCCGAGAAUUUUCAAAUAUUACACCAUCUUGUUCUGGUUGAAAUAUUACUUCUUGUUGUUCAGGUAUUUGAAAUAUCGCAUGUUGUUGUUCAGGAGAUUGAAAUAUUACUUCUGGUUGUCCGGGAAUUUGAAAUAUGGAUUUUUGUUCAGAAUUUUGAUCUGUGUAAGGAUUUUUGGUUUGAGGCGAGUAAGGCAAUCCAUUUGUUGAAAAAAUAAUAGCAAUAAAUAUUAAUGACCUGAUAAGCAUCUUUCUUUGUGUUUCUUCUAUGUAUGUCUGUAAAGAUUAUAAAACGAG